GUCCAGGGGGCCGCCUUCGCCACCGGUAUUCCUCCAGAUCUCUACGCAUUUCACCGCUACACCUGGAAUUCUACCCCCCUCUACAAGACUCUAGCCUGCCAGUUUCGAAUGCAGUUCCCAGGUUGAGCCCGGGGAUUUCACAUCCGACUUGACAGACCGCCUGCGUGCGCUUUACGCCCAGUAAUUCCGAUUAACGCUUGCACCCUCCGUAUUACCGCGGCUGCUGGCACGGAGUUAGCCGGUGCUUCUUCUGCGAGUAACGUCAAUCACCAAGGUUAUUAACCUUAACGCCUUCCUCCUCGCUGAAAGUACUUUACAACCCGAAGGCCUUCUUCAUACACGCGGCAUGGCUGCAUCAGGCUUGCGCCCAUUGUGCAAUAUUCCCCACUGCUGCCUCCCGUAGGAGUCUGGACCGUGUCUCAGUUCCAGUGUGGCUGGUCAUCCUCUCAGACCAGCUAGGGAUCGUCGCCUAGGUGAGCCAUUACCCCACCUACUAGCUAAUCCCAUCUGGGCACAUCUGAUGGCAUGAGGCCCGAAGGUCCCCCACUUUGGUCUUGCGACGUUAUGCGGUAUUAGCUACCGUUUCCAGUAGUUAUCCCCCUCCAUCAGGCAGUUUCCCAGACAUUACUCACCCGUCCGCCGCUCGUCACCCGAGAGCAAGCUCUCUGUGUUACCGCUCGACUUGCAUGUGUUAGGCCUGCCGCCAGCG
rnacentral:rRNA from 1 species